rnacentral:tRNA from 1 species
UGUCGUGUGGUGUAAUUGGUAACACAAGAGAUUCUGAUUCUUUAAUUCCGGGUUCGAGUCCUGGCAUGACAA